AGUGGCAGACGCCCUGAGCCAAGCCUCUCUCAAGCAUCUCCUGGUGCAGUCUGCAGUGGCAGAUACCCUGAGCCAAGCCUCAUUUUAGCAUCUCCUGCUGCUGGCAAAGUCAAGUCUGAAACUUUGGAGAUGGUUGAACCUUCUCCGGUCAUAAAAGUUUCUGCUAUCUCCAUCAAAAAAGAGCUUGAUGAUGAAACUGAGGAAAUAUCCAUUAAAGAAGAGCCAUUCUUGUAUGGAAAUUAGGCUUACCCAACUGAACAGCUCAGCCAUGCACCUGCAUUCUCCUCUUGUUUGCCAUGCAAGACGGAAGUUCAAGUUGAGGAACAUGGCAACCACCCAAGCUCAUCACAGAACACUUCUGCUCUGUUGGUCAAUCAGUGUGAAGCUGGGGGGUCAGCAUCGGCAUCAGGAGACGCUGCUGACGACGCUGGCGUCUCUAGGGCGUCCAACUCCAGGCAAGGCAUGAGGCUUGGUUGUUCCCAGCGUGGAUUGGUGCCUGCAAGUGCAGGUCGACAGCAGCAGCACAUUCAUCAAGAACAUCUUGCUUCAGGACCCCAUCGUUGCUCUGACUGCGAAAGCACAUCUAGUUCAGGGAGUGGACUGCAGCAGAACGAUAAUGCUAUGCAUUCGAUAAAAGACUCGUUGCAGUGCCAAGACUGUGGUUAUAAAUGUACCUCAAAGAAAUUAAUGCAAAAGCAUGUAGCUUGCAAACACUUAUGCAGAAGGCAACACCAAUGCAACUUCUGUUUAAAUUUGUGUGACACAAAAGCUGAACUCAAACAACAUAUUCUCUUGAGGCAUCCUCAGAGAAAUUCACAGAAAUUUUCUAAUCAUAAUUAUGUCGAUGGUUGCAAAAAAAUCCUGCACAAGCGUUUUAUUUCUAAACAGUCAACAAUGAAGAAAAUGGGCUGCUCUGAGUGUGAUUUUGCUUGCACUAGAAAAGGAAACUUGAAAAGACAUUUUCUUUAUAAACAUUUAACAGAAAAACUUAUUCAGUGUUCUGAGUGUGAUUAUUCUUGUGUCACAAAAGACACGUUAAAACGUCAUUUUCUUUGCAAACAUUCAGCAGAGAAACCUAUUCAGUGCUCUGAGUGUGAUUAUUCUUGUGUCACAAAAGAGAUGUUGAAACAACAUUUUCUAAAUAAGCAUUCAACAGAAAAACCUUUUA